rnacentral:rRNA from 1 species
GACGAACGCUGGCGGCGUGCUUAACACAUGCAAGUCGAACGGAAAGGCCCUGCUUUUGUGGGGUGCUCGAGUGGCGAACGGGUGAGUAACACGUGAGUAACCUGCCCUUGACUUUGGGAUAACUUCAGGAAACUGGGGCUAAUACCGGAUAGGAGCUCCUGCUGCAUGGUGGGGGUUGGAAAGUUUCGGCGGUUGGGGAUGGACUCGCGGCUUAUCAGCUUGUUGGUGGGGUAGUGGCUUACCAAGGCUUUGACGGGUAGCCGGCCUGAGAGGGUGACCGGCCACAUUGGGACUGAGAUACGGCCCAGACUCCUACGGGAGGCAGCAGUGGGGAAUAUUGCACAAUGGGCGGAAGCCUGAUGCAGCAACGCCGCGUGCGGGAUGACGGCCUUCGGGUUGUAAACCGCUUUCGCCUGUGACGAAGCGUGAGUGACGGUAAUGGGUAAAGAAGCACCGGCUAACUACGUGCCAGCAGCCGCGGUGAUACGUAGGGUGCGAGCGUUGUCCGGAUUUAUUGGGCGUAAAGGGCUCGUAGGUGGUUGAUCGCGUCGGAAGUGUAAUCUUGGGGCUUAACCCUGAGCGUGCUUUCGAUACGGGUUGACUUGAGGAAGGUAGGGGAGAAUGGAAUUCCUGGUGGAGCGGUGGAAUGCGCAGAUAUCAGAAGGAACACCAGUGGCGAAGGCGGUUCUCUGGGCCUUUCCUGACGCUGAGGAGCGAAAGCGUGGGGAGCGAACAGGCUUAGAUACCCUGGUAGUCCACGCUGUAAACGGUGGGUACUAGGUGUGGGGUCCAUUCCACGGGUUCCGUGCCGUAGCUAACGCUUUAAGUACCCCGCCUGGGGAGUACGGCCGCAAGGCUAAAACUCAAAGGAAUUGACGGGGCCCCGCACAAGCGGCGGAGCAUGCGGAUUAAUUCGAUGCAACGCGUAGAACCUUACCUGGGUUUGACAUGGAUCGGGAGUGCUCAGAGAUGGGUGUGCCUCUUUUGGGGUCGGUUCACAGGUGGUGCAUGGCUGUCGUCAGCUCGUGUCGUGAGAUGUUGGGUUAAGUCCCGCAACGAGCGCAACCCUUGUUCACUGUUGCCAGCACGUUAUGGUGGGGACUCAGUGGAGACCGCCGGGGUCAACUCGGAGGAAGGUGGGGAUGACGUCAAGUCAUCAUGCCCCUUAUGUCCAGGGCUUCACGCAUGCUACAAUGGCUGGUACAGAGAGUGGCGAGCCUGUGAGGGUGAGCGAAUCUCGGAAAGCCGGUCUCAGUUCGGAUUGGGGUCUGCAACUCGACCUCAUGAAGUCGGAGUCGCUAGUAAUCGCAGAUCAGCAACGCUGCGGUGAAUACGUUCCCGGGGCU